UACGUAGGGUGCGAGCGUUAAUCGGAAUUACUGGGCGUAAAGCGUGCGCAGGCGGUUAUGCAAGACAGAUGUGAAAUCCCCGGGCUCAACCUGGGAACCGCAUUUGUGACUGCAUAGCUAGAGUACGGUAGAGGGGGAUGGAAUUCCGCGUGUAGCAGUGAAAUGCGUAGAUAUGCGGAGGAACACCGAUGGCGAAGGCAAUCCCCUGGACCUGUACUGACGCUCAUGCGACGAAAGCGUGGGGAGCAAACGAGG
rnacentral:rRNA from 1 species